UACAGAGGGUGCGAGCGUUAAUCGGAUUAACUGGGCGUAAAGGGCGCGUAGGCGGUCAGAUGGGUGUGAUGUGAAAGCCCCGGGCUUAACCUGGGAAGUGCAUCGCAAACUAUAAGACUGGAGUAGAUGAGAGGGUGGCGGAAUUUCCGGUGUAGCAGUGAAAUGCGUAGAGAUCGGAAGGAACGUCAAUGGCGAAGGCAGCCACCUGGCAUCAUACUGACGCUGAGGCGCGAAAGCGUGGGGAGCGAACAGG
rnacentral:rRNA from 1 species